GACGAACGCUGGCGGCGUGCUUAGCACAUGCAAGUCGAACGGAAAGGCCCUGCUUUUGUGGGGUGCUCGAGUGGCGAACGGGUGAGCAACACGUGAGUAACCUGCCCUUGACUUUGGGAUAACUUCAGGAAACUGGGGCUAAUACCGGAUAGGAGCUCCUGCUGCAUGGUGGGGGUUGGAAAGUUUCGGCGGUUGGGGAUGGACUCGCGGCUUAUCAGCUUGUUGGUGGGGUAGUGGCUUACCAAGGCUUUGACGGGUAGCCGGCCUGAGAGGGUGACCGGCAACAUUGGGACUGAUGUACGGCCCAGCCUCCACGGGGAGGCAGCAGUGGGAAAUUUUGCACAAGGGGCGGAGGCCUGAGGCAGCAACCCCGCGUGGGGGAGGACGCCUUUCGGGUUGUAACCCGCUUUCGCCGGUGACGAAGGGGGGGUGAGGGUAAGGGGUAAAAAAGCACGGGCUAACUAGGUG
rnacentral:rRNA from 1 species